rnacentral:rRNA from 1 species
GACAGAGGGUGCAAACGUUGUUCGGAAUUACUGGGCGUAAAGCGCGUGUAGGCGGCUAUGCAAGUCGGGCGUGAAAUCCCACGGCUCAACCGUGGAAGUGCACUCGAAACUGCGUAGCUAGAGUCCCGGAGAGGAAGGUGGAAUACUUGGUGUAGAGGUGAAAUUCGUAGAUAUCAAGUGGAACACCGGUGGCGAAGGCGGCCUUCUGGACGGUUUCUGACGCUGAGACGCGAAAGCGUGGGGAGCGAACAGG